rnacentral:rRNA from 1 species
UACGGGAGGCAGCAGUGGGGAAUAUUGCACAAUGGGCGAAAGCCUGAUGCAGCUAUGCCGCGUGUAUGAAGAAGGCCUUAGGGUUGUAAAGUACUUUCAUCGGGGAGGAAAAAACAAAACUAAUAAUUUUAUUUUCUUGACGUUACCCGAAAAAGAAGCACCGGCUAACUCCGUGCCGGCAGCCGCGGUAAUACGGAGGGUGCUAGCGUUAAUCAGAAUUACUGGGCGUAAAGAGCACGUAGGUGGUUUUUUUAAGUUCAGAUGUGAAAUCCCUGGGCUUAACCUAGGAACUGCAUUUUGAAACUGAAAUACUAGAGUAUCGUAGAGGGAGGUAGAAUUCUAGGUGUAGCGGUGAAAUGCGUAGAUAUCUGGAGGAAUACCUGUGGCGAAAGCGGCCUCCUAAACGAAUACUGACACUGAGGUGCGA